AUUUGUCUUUUUCAUGUUUGGUUCUUGUUUCACACCAUGGGCUUGUGCAUAUUUCUUAAACGUAUGGGACUGUAAGACAGCAGCCCUACUUAUUCUCUCAUCCUUCAAGGAGAGGGAAGAUUUUUACAAUAAAUAAUUCACCACUGAUAGCCAGACCUAAUGCCUACAUGAACAAAUCUCUCAGUUACAGCCAUCCUGGGAGUAAGCCAGUCCAUGAGCAUACUUAAUAAACACAUACAGAGCCCGGCGAGCUCUAGUUUCACUGAUGUCUUUCCGAGAGGAAAGUAUUUGAAGACAGUUGGUGAAACAGCAUCCUUUCUGAGGGUGAAGGUUUAGGGGUCAGGUGUGGGUUUUGCUGUAAGACCACGUCAUCUCGUUGCUGUUGCCGCUGAUCCUCGGGAUAGAUUUACUGUCUGUUUUACACAGGUCGUAAUGUAAGUGUUUCUUCAGCUAUAUCUGACAUUUAUGUCUAAAAGAUUUUAUGAUCUUGCACCAAGACAAAUGGCAUAGAAACCCUACACGCGAAAUAGCCAAAUGUACAAAUAAGCCCGUGUAUAAACACAGGUAUGUGCCUCAUAUCUACACGGCAGUUUGGUUGAGCCCGUUAUCUUUUCACAUUUACGACUGACUCAGUAUCAGAGCUUCACAUUGACCACAUGUGCGCUUCACCCAGAAACAUAAUCCAGACAUGAUUCCUCUAACCCUUUUGGCUGAGGUGGCCAUAUGUGCUCACAUGUAUUUUUGAAAAUAUUUUUCACUGAAUCUCACAUAUUAGUAAUAAUACCCAUCCCAGAUGCUUCGCAUUUUUGCUCUUUUGGGCUGUAAAUUAAAGACGCCUUACACACUUUUACGGCAUGUCAUAUUUAAUCAAGCACAUUGAUUAUGUGUGCGUUGUUGUUGUUGUUAUUUAGCCUGUUUGUGAGUCUGCUGCAUGACUCCCCGCAUGAAAUAUUCAAAGUCCAGUGAAAAUGGAUCUGCUGAUCUGAAGUGUGUUUCACUGCCUCUCUCCGACCAGAUCCCGGCGGAGCUGCCUCGGAGAAGGAUCCCGGUAUCACGUGUCAGCUGGAUGACAAAGGGACGAAGAAGCAGCUGCGAAGAGCCUGGAAGGUCGCCCGGUGCUUCGCCCCUCACCUGUGUCACCUCUGCCCGUUAGGGCCAUCAAGUCUCUGUGAAGGUGGGAAGGGAAUCACUGGAGCGUAAAUGGUGACCAUUAUAUCCUGAUCUAUCCAGCUGCUGAGGAUGAUGCAUCUCAGAGCUGAUGACUGACAGCCGCCUUACUCCAAAGCAGGUGGAGCCUUUUGGAAAUGCUUAAUAUUCUACAAAUUUUACAUUUGACACAUUGUAAGAAACAGACUGGACAUUACAUGGCACAAUGUCUGAGUAAAAUGAUGAAUUUAAACACCACUUGUUUUUAAAUCUGUGCUUGAAGGGAUGUAAAGUGUGGGGUUUGUAUUUCUGACACAUUUUUCCUGAAAUAACAAAGGUUAAUGUUCACAUUACUUAAUGAGGGAAAUCUAAAGAAGUGCCCAGAUCUUCCAUUACUACUUAAUAUUUAGCCGUAUGUGUAUUCCACACUGUUAUGCUUAAUAAAAGAGUAUCUU